CACCACAGCCAUAGGACUAUGACCACAGGAACCAGACAGGCUAUCCAUAUAUCAUCACCUGACAAAACAAUCUGUGAGUGUGAGCUAAAUGUCAACGUGCUUUCUGUUGGUGUUUCUAAUGGCUUGCCACAAGCUGGAAAUAAUCCAGUGUGGUCGAGCAUGGCCGUAUGGGGUACCUUAGCAAAAAUUGCUCAACGGAGAAUUGGGUCGUGUGGAUAGUCGUUUUCUAUAUUUUUUAGUGUUCCGAAUUCGAUUAAUAGGGUCAAGUAACCUAAUUAUAAAGACAAAAUGACGCGUGCGGUCCAGACAGUGGUGAUACGGUAGGGGAGAGAUUCGGAGCGCGUUUUUUAAUUAUGUGAAAUAUUUUGUGAUAGGUGAUUAAAGCGGAUCAAAAUCAAAUUACUCUGGUUGAACGAAAGGAGUGACUCAAUCAAUUUGUACGGUGGGUAACAGGGGGGAUUAGAUGAUCUUAUUAUGACUGAAUUCUUGUCGUUAUACGGUCUGUGUAUAAAUAUUAUCUAUGAGGUGAUAUAUGAUUGAUGGUAGUGAUUUAUAUUUAUGAGAUACUUAUAUAUCAUGUUGAUAAUGAUAAAAUAUGAGGUGGCAGCUGGAACUUAAAUACAGAUAGUCUUAUCAUAUUGAAUUGAUUGUCUUUGAUGACAUGUGGGUGUUGAUAUAUAUACAUGAGGUGAAAUGCUAUAUUGUUGGUUGAUGAUAAAUAUAUAUAUGAUGAGGUGAUAUAUGAUUGAUGGUGGUGAUUAAUUUAUGAGAUAUUAGAUAUCAUGUUGGAAAUGAUAUACAUAUGAUGGGGUGGCAGAUGGAAAAUUAAAUACAGAUAGUCUUAUCAUAUGAAUUGAUUGUCUUUGAGGACAUGGGUGGGGGAUGUUGAUAUAUAUACAGAGGUGGAAAGAAUGAUAUAUUGUUGGUGAUGAUAAAUAUAUUAUGAGGUGAUAUAUGAUUGAUGGUGCGUGAUUAAUUCAUGAGAUGAUUAAUAUCAUGUUGAUAAUGAUAUACAUAUGAGGUGGGUGGCAGUUGGGAAAUUAAAAUAUAUGAUUAAUCUUAUUCAUAUGAAUUGCUUAUCUUUUAUACGAUUGAUGUACUGAUUAUAUUUAUGAGGUUAUUCAUAUAUGAGGUUAAUUGAAAUGAGGUGAUAUGGCAAGCAUAUCAUUUAUCUUGUGUGUUUGCAUUGACACUGAUGAAAGUAACAUGGUGGGUUAACUAAGGCCUAGGUCACGGUUGGACUAGGCCUAAGGGUGUCACAGGGGCAUUCCUUGAUAACGAGCCGUCGAUUUUGGGCCAACGUUAUCUAAACGUACGCGCACAUGUGGGUGAUCAUUAUUGAAUUGCAUUCGUUAUUUGCUGGGAAUCUAUGAUGUAUGGCGCUCUUUCCCCAUUUAUAUGAAUUUGAUUAUCGAUCGUGAACAUGUUGAUUUUUAGCUGUAUGUGAUUUAUAUUCUGGUUAUCUAUGGUGGAGGCUUAUCUAUUCAUUCUUUAUGAGUUUGAUUAUCUAUUAUGAGCACGUUGACAUUUAGCUCACACCACACAGCUUGUUUUGUCAGGUGAGGAGAUUGGAUAGCUUGUUGGUUUACUGUGGCAUAGUCCUAGCUGUGUGGCUUUCCUGGUUGAGUGAUGUUGUUGGGCAGAACUUGGGAUAGACUUCUCUCCUGAUACAGGUUUGUAUAGUUUACGUGGUUGUAUAAAGUCUAGAUACAGAGGGGAUGUUUUAUGUUAGUGUAGAAUAUGUUAAUUUUAGUAUUUGGUUUUAAUUUUUAGUGAAUGUUUUACUAAUAUCAAUAGUUAUUCAUUUGAGUAUGUGGUGGAUAAACAGGUGACGUCGCAGGCCAUGGGGGCCUGUGCGAUCACAUCCCGCCUAAUUAACAUUAAUUAUGUUGAUUUAGGUUUGGGGUGUGACAAUUGUAGUUUGGCCAAAGUUUUAUUUUGGUUCCUGAAAAGGGUAGUGUGAGUUUUCACAUAUUUUCUGUCCGUUUAAAUUAUAAAUGGUAUUAAUGGGGGAAAAUACAUUGAAAUCAAAUUAAAACUAUAGGGUUUUAAUUGUUUGAAUUAAAAUUACAGGAAUCUAAGAAGAAUUUUAGUCAAAUUACAAGGACUAAUAAUGAGAUUUCCCAAAAUCAAACGUCCUAAGAUUGGUCCCAAGUUGUUGGGCCCCCAUAGCGUAAGGACAUGGGUUGGUUUAAUGAAAGCCCAGUCCAAAUAAGUUCGAGACAAGCCUUUUUAAUAGUGGCUACAUGGGCUUCACUUUCAGGGUUGGCCCUGCUUGCCAAAGGCCCAAAGGCGAGUUUGGGUGUUGAAGGCUCCAUCGAGUCCAUCAAUGUGCGCUCUCGACUAAUGAAAACCGCUUGAAAAAAAAUGAAAUAGAUCAACCUAGAAUGGUUAUUCUAUUGCUCACAAGAUGGGCUGAUAGAAUCAAGUUGCUCAGCUCGUAAACCGCUAGUUAAAAAUUUAUUUGAGAUCUGUUUAAUAAAUAAAUUAAAUCUUCACA
rnacentral:lncRNA from 1 species